GACGAACGCUGGCGGCGUGCUUAACACAUGCAAGUCGAACGGAAAGGCCCUGCUUUUGUGGGGUGCUCGAGUGGCGAACGGGUGAGUAACACGUGAGUAACCUGCCCUUGACUUUGGGAUAACUUCAGGAAACUGGGGCUAAUACCGGAUAGGAGCUCCUGCUGCAUGGUGGGGGUUGGAAAGUUUCGGCGGUUGGGGAUGGACUCGCGGCUUAUCAGCUUGUUGGUGGGGUAGUGGCUUACCAAGGCUUUGACGGGUAGCCGGCCUGAGAGGGUGACCGGCCACAUUGGGACUGAGAUACGGCCCAGACUCCUACGGGAGGCAGCAGUGGGGAAUAUUGCACAAUGGGCGGAAGCCUGAUGCAGCAACGCCGCGUGCGGGAUGACGGCCUUCGGGUUGUAAACCGCUUUCGCCUGUGACGAAGCGUGAGUGACGGUAAUGGGUAAAGAAGCACAGGCUAACUAAGUG
rnacentral:rRNA from 1 species